CGGGUUGUAGCUCAGUUGGUAGAGCGCACGAUUCGGGUUCGUGAGGCCCCGGGUUCGAGCCCCGGCAGCCCGA
rnacentral:tRNA from 1 species